GGGUUGUGAGGUUAAGCGACUAAGCGUACACGGUGGAUGCCCUGGCAGUCAGAGGCGAUGAAGGGCGUGCUAAUCUGCGAUAAGCGCCGGUAAGGUGAUAUGAACCGUUAUAACCGGCGAUACCCGAAUGGGGAAACCCAGUGUGACUCGUCACACUAUCAUUAACUGAAUCCAUAGGUUAAUGAGGCGAACCGGGGGAACUGAAACAUCUAAGUACCCCGAGGAAAAGAAAUCAACCGAGAUUCCCCCAGUAGCGGCGAGCGAACGGGGAGGAGCCCAGAGCCUGAAUCAGCAUGUGUGUUAGUGGAAGCGUCUGGAAAGGCGCGCGAUACAGGGUGACAGCCCCGUACACAAAAGCGCAUGUGCUGUGAGCUCGAUGAGUAGGGCGGGACACGUGGUAUCCUGUCUGAAUAUGGGGGGACCAUCCUCCAAGGCUAAAUACUCCUGACUGACCGAUAGUGAACCAGUACCGUGAGGGAAAGGCGAAAAGAACCCCGGCGAGGGGAGUGAAAAAGAACCUGAAACCGUGUACGUACAAGCAGUGGGAGCACAGGUUUACCUGUGUGACUGCGUACCUUUUGUAUAAUGGGUCAGCGACUUAUAUUCUGUAGCAAGGUUAACCGCAUAGGGGAGCCGGAGGGAAACCGAGUCUUAAUUGGGCGUUAAGUUGCAGGGUAUAGACCCGAAACCCGGUGAUCUA
rnacentral:rRNA from 1 species